rnacentral:rRNA from 1 species
UGGGGAAUUUUGGACAAUGGGGGAAACCCUGAUCCAGCCAUGCCGCGUGAGUGAAGAAGGCCUUCGGGUUGUAAAGCUCUUUCAGCCGGAACGAAACGGUCAUAGCUAAUACCCGUGAUCACUGACGGUACCGGAAGAAGAAGCACCGGCUAACUACGUGCCAGCAGCCGCGGUAAUACGUAGGGUGCGAGCGUUAAUCGGAAUUACUGGGCGUAAAGCGUGCGCAGGCGGUUUUGUAAGUCAGAUGUGAAAUCCCCGGGCUCAACCUGGGAACUGCGUUUGAAACUACAAGGCUAGAGUGUAGCAGAGGGGGGUGGAAUUCCACGUGUAGCAGUGAAAUGCGUAGAGAUGUGGAGGAACACCGAUGGCGAAGGCAGCCCCCUGGGUUAACACUGACGCUCAGGCACGAAAGCGUGGGGAGCAAACA